rnacentral:rRNA from 1 species
UACGUAGGGGGCAAGCGUUGUCCGGAUUUAUUGAGCGUAAAGAGCUCGUAGGUGGUUCGGUAAGUCGGAUGUGAAAUCUCCAGGCUCAACCUGGAGGGGUCAUUCGAUACUGCCGUGACUAGAGGUCGGUAGGGGAGUGUGGAAUUCCUGGUGGAGCGGUGGAAUGCGCAGAUAUCAGGAGGAACACCGGUGGCGAAGGCGGGUCUCUGGGCAGUAACUGACGCUGAGGAGCGAAAGCGUGGGGAGCGAACAGG